UAUUUCCCGAUUCUGAAAGGAGCUAUUAAUUUAUUUUAGUUGUUGUUUUAUUAACAUUAAUAAUGGGUUGAUAGUGAUGAAAUGUUAUUCGUCUUUAGGGGUUUCUGGUUUUUCAGGAAAUGAAUUUAAUUCAUGCGUCUUAUUUAGAGUUUUAUCAUUUUUUUAUUUGUUUUUAUUUGGCGUUAAGAUUGGGAGGGAUUAGCUUCUUAUUUUAUUUUUAUAAUUUUUUGUUUAUUUAGUCUUGUGGGUUUUACAGUGAUUUUCAAUUUGAUUAUGUUAAAAUUUUAUUUGUUUUUUUCUUUAUUUCUGAUUAUUUAAUUAUUUAUUGAAAUGUAUUUUUUAUCUUUAAUUUUGGUUAGUAAUUAUUGUAGAAUUAGUAAAUUUGUUUUUAGGCUGUUUUGUUUGUGUUAAUUUUCUUUGAGGAACUAGGCAAAUUUCAUGCCCGCCUGUUUAACAAAAACAUCUUUUGUCGUUAGUUUUUGAAGUAUGGCCUGCCCGCUGACUUUAGUGUUGAAGGCCCGCGGUAUUUUGACCGUGCAAAGGUAGCAUAGUCAUUAGUUCUUUAAUUGUGAUCUGGUAUGAAUGGCUUGACGAGGCAUGGGCUGUCUUAAUUUUAAAUUGUUUAUUGAAUUUGUUCUUUGAGUUAAAAUUCUUAGAUGUUUUUAUGGGACGAGAAGACCCUAUAGAGUUUAACAUUUAUUAUGGUCCUUUUUCUGUUUGUGAGGGUUCACUGGGCUGUUUAAUAUGUUUUGUUGGGGUGAUGGGAGGGAUUUAUUUAACCCCUCCUUUUUGUUGUUAUAUUUAUUUAUAUUUACUUGAU
rnacentral:rRNA from 1 species